GCACCGGUGGCCUAGUGGUUACAGCGUCCGCCUCAGAUGCGGCAGCUCGUGGGUUCGAUUCCCGGUCGAGUCA